rnacentral:lncRNA from 1 species
UGUGUGUGUGUGUGUGUGUGAUCUAAACUCAGCCCAUCUCUGUAUUGUUGCAGCUGCCCAGUGUCCGCUGGUUCCCUGGACCCAUGGAGCCCCUUCAGAGGAACACAAUGAGAUGCCGACUCAUGCUCUGCACUGACGCCCCCUUGAUGGACUACUGGUGCUGCUCUAGCUGAGUUUUCUGAGAUUCUAGACUUAGGUGACACCCAAUAAUUACCAGGGCUUAAGAUUGUGUCUAAUGCAUACAAGCUUCAUGGAUGGAUUCUAAUGCCGUUUUCCUGCAUCUGCCCAGCAGCAAGCUGUCACUGGGUCCCUUGACUUCUCAAAGCUCUUCUGACUCAUUGGUUGAGACCCACCUUGAUUUGAGUUUUGAACUGGGGAUACUUGAAAAGAGAGAUAGUGUGGUUCUUAGAACCAGACCCUGUGUUCGAAUUAUAAUCCCUCAGAUGCUUCUGGGGGCCACACAGCCCAACACAGAAAACAAAAGGAAGAGCAGACCCCCACGGAGCUUCAUAUCAAUUUUCACUUAGUCUUUGGUAAAGUUCCACAAUGCCUGCUUUAGAGCACACAGUAGGCACUCAAAAGCCUUAGCAGGUAUAAGACAGCAUCAAGCAUAGACCAACCAGCUGGUUUACAAGGUCAGAAUAAAAAGACAGCAAUUUAAGUGUCUUAGUCACUCUUCUGUUGCUGUAAAGAGACACCAUGGCCAAGGCAACUUAAAAAAAGAGAGCAUUUAAUUGGGAGCUUGCUUACAGUUUCAGAAGUUAGUCCAGUGGCUGUUAUGGCAGAGAGCAUAGCAGGAGGCAAACAAGCAGGCAGGCAAGCAGAAAAGGUAUUAGAACAAAGCAGCUGAGAGCUUACAUCUGAUUGGAAAGCCUGAGGCAGAAAGGCAGAUAACUGGGCCUGGUCAAAGCUUUUUCAAACUCAAAAUCCACCUCCAGCAAUACACCUCCACCAAGGCCACACCUCCUCCUCCCUCUUCUUUUUUUUUUUAAGAUUCACUUACAUUAUUUUAACUACAUGUGUGUGUGGUGGUGGUGGCAUUGCACAUGGAUGCAAAUGCUCACAGAGGUUAUAGGUAUGAGACUGCCCCUGGAGCUGGGGUGCAGACAGUUGCAAACCACCUGAAGUGGGUGCUGGGACUUGAACUCAGGUCCUCAGGAAGAGCUCUUAGUGUCUCCAGCCCCAGGCCACACCUCCUAGUCCUUUCCAAACAGUUCCAUGAACUGUGGAUUAAGCAUCUAAAUAUUUGAGCCUAUGGGGGACCAUUCUCAUUCAAACCACCCCACCACAAAUGACAAGAAAGGCUGUUUCAACAGUUGACAAUAAAGAAGGCAUGACAGUGUCUUAUGAAGGAGUUAACACAAUGACAUGGAUCUGUAGACGGCUGCCAGCCAUUCAGAGCAUAAUCAAAAGGAACAAGCUGGCACACAUGAACAUAAAUGUCCACAUACAAUGUUUGUAGACAUUUCAUUCAUAGUUGUAGCUGAGGAUGGGGCUCUGUUAGUAGAACUCUUCUCUAGCAUACACGAAGCCCUCUCUUAGUCCCCAGCACCACAUAAACCAGGCAUGGCAUAGUGGCAAACUCCAGAAACUCUAGACCUUAGGUGGUGGAGGCAAGAGAUCAGAAGUUCAAAGUCCAACUACGCAGGAAGUUCAAGACCAGCCUUAGCCAAAACAACAAAAGACCCUUUCCCAAAACAACAAAAAGUUUCAUUCAUGAUUGUCAAAAUGGACAGCAAGAUGGCUUGGCAGGAAAAGAUGCUUGCGACUAAGCCUGUGUUCUAUACAGGGUAGAAGGUAAAAGCUCCCCCUGCAAGCUGUUCUCUAACCUCUACACACACAGUAAUGGUACAUCCACACCUUUCCCUCACAGGAAAUUCAUUAAUUAAUUAUUCUUAGGGUUCCAAUUUCUGUGAUGAAACACCAUGACCAAAGGCAACGUGGAAGGAAAGAAUUUAUUUCAGCUUACACUUCCACAUCAGUCCAUCACAGAGAAGUCAGGGCAGGAACUCAAAAUUGAGCAGGACCAUGGAGGCAGGAGCUGAUACAGAGGCCAUGGAGGGCCACUAAUCACUGGCUUGCCCCUUGCGACUUUCUUACCACAUCCAGGAUCAUCAGCCCGCAGGUGCCACCAUCCACAAUGGCUGGGUCCACUCAUAUAAACCAUCAAUCAAGAGAAUGCGCCAUAGAAUGAGUCUAUUAGUCAACCUGGUGGAGGUAUUCUCUCUUUUGAGGUUCCCACUACCAAAAUUACUCUAGCCUGUGUCAGCUUGACAUAAAAAUUAGCACAUAAAUUUAGUAAAAAAAAAAAAAAAUCAAAAUUAACAAAGAUACCAUAAUUUUCAACAGUUGUAGACAAUUCAAAAGGUGAAUUAGUAAACUGAAGUUCAACAGUUCAACAAUACCAUGGGAUAUAAUUAAGCAGACUUAAUAAAUGAGCUCUCAGCUAUAAAAACAAAAACAAAAACAUGAAAGAAACUUAAGAACAUACUACUUAGUGAAGGAAGCCAUUCUGAAAAAUUCACAAAGGGCACUGUGGAAUAAACAAAAAC